UUUCAUUUUUCUCUUCUCUUCAAUAUUUCAACAACCGUUCGAUUUCGAAUAAUUCGUCGACGACGCGUGUCCGUCGUUCGAUUAAGCGUGGCAAAGCCACCGAGAUUACUACUGGGAUGACGUUAGAUCUGGGUCAUCGGCAACGUUUCACGCGUCACAACAAACGUGGCACAUCUUCGUGAUUAAUGAUCGCGUUACCAAAAUGUAGGUCAUGAUACGGACUCGCCUCGGCACUACCGAUUUUCGCGCGCCAUUAUUUCUCGAUUCAUAAUGACACGUUCUUUUGUGCAGGCUGAAGGAACCCGUCCGAAAUUCGCGGGGCCUUUCGAGAUCCAGACGAGUCGAGAAGAUCGAUAUCACAUUUUCUAUUAGAGGACACACUUCGACGUAAGAUCUACAAUAAAUGGACGUGGCAAGGAUCGCAGUUCGGCGAAGUUGACCGUGUGCAUCGGUAAUAUUCGGAAGUAUCGGAGUCCCGAAACUAUUCGGAAGAAUAUAAAUACCUUGCCGGCUGGACGUGGACCAGUGUCCGGCGCAUAGAUCUCGCGGACGAACGUCCUCGUCGGCGAACAGUUAUGAAACAAUCACGUUGGACCGGUCGGUUUCGAUAUCCGUGCGGCUAACAUAAUUAUUAGGCGACGAUCGUUCGGUAUCGACGAGCCUUGUACGUUAGCACCGUCUUGUCGAGAGUUUGAAGAAAAAAGAAGACGUAAAGCUGGGCGAUAAGGGACCCAGCGGGGCCAAAGGUUGCCGAAGAAAUAUUAACCUUCGAGUCUGCACAAGAGCUGUCACGGAACGCAAAAGGAUUACCGGCGUUCAUUGAAUAUUCAAAACAGGAAAUCGACGCAUUACACGCCGCGGAGACUUUAAUGAGACGGUUUAUUGCAUGUUUAUUGCGCGUUCUUCGCGCCGAAGGCCGUCGGUGGCUUCUGUUAAUUAGAAACAAGAAACUGCGAGAAAACGAGCGUCGCCGCCUCAUGCCACUGUUCCCGUCGAUGGUCCGUGUCGGCUGAUAUUGCACCAAUCUAUUCUCCAACUAUCCCAUUAUCGUGGUAUGCGAAAUUAAUAAGUGCGACUGGCCGACGGCGCCACGAGAUACAUCCGUGGCACCGCGUCUCAUUUAAUUAUAAAUUCAAUUAGGUCGAAGUUGAUUGACACAAUACACCGCGCACGACAACGAUUUAAUCUAUCAUCGUAGAAGACGCCCCGAGCAAACGACAGGACACAAGAGAGUUACUACACUGGAUACUAGAGAUAAUCGCAGAGAACCGUUCGAUCGAUAUGCCGCGCCGAUCGCUGUUCACGCUACUUGUUUCACGAUCACGAGGUCCUUUGCUUAUUGCAUAUUUCAUGUAUCAUCGAUCGUCAUCCGUUUCGACGGCGCGACGCUCGAACUAGAAUCGAUCGCGACGAUCCUUGCCAACGAGUUUGCAGCCGCGUUACGUAAUCGCUAAUCAGGUAUCGCCGCGGUACAUAUAUUUACAUUACAUGUUAACUACAGAAUUCAGAGGGGAUCGCUCACCUAGCACCAACGGAUCCAUCGGAAAGAGCGAGCUUGCAGCCGACGGCUACAUGCAACGUUCCUCCGUGACUCUGCGGACCUCGAAAAGCUUGAUCCCUUCGUCGGAGCGUGAGAUCCAAGGAAAUCUUCUUUGGACCCGGUUGGCCAACGAAUCCCCGAUGUCCCUUGGAUCCAGAUGUCGGGCAUGGUCGUUGCUUCACAAUCACGACAGGGGAUCCAAGAGAACACCGAGGACUUAGAAGUUUAUUCGCGAGUUCCCCGGCCGGCUCGACGCGGAAGAAAUUGCAACCACCAACCGAGUCUUCAUGAAGCCGGAACGAAACUGUUCACACGGAACCGCGACAACUCGCCGAAAUACUUAAGAAAGGAUGACGGUGAGACGAUGUCGAGCGUGGAGCUGGAUCCACGCGAUCUCCGUUCAUUCACGCGUGCCGACGAGAGCCACUCGAGGGUGAAACGCGACAAUGAAGCGCGAUAGUAAAUAACCGGUGCAAACGGGGUGCGGUACCGUGUCUGUGUAUCUACACCGUCUCGUGCUUCUGUAGCGGAGACGGAGAGAAGGAGAGAGAGACUUCUCUCGCGCGUGGGACGAAGUGAGAAGGAAAAAUAGAGGAAUAGAGAGGGAUAGAGAGAGAAAGAGAGGGAGAGGCACGGCAAACACCGGGUAGCGAGAGUGGCGUUUCUAGAGGAGACGAAAAAAGAAGCACGGACACGGUCAAUGGUGCGCGGCUCGCCCUUCGCUGCCUCACUGACUGGGACGACAGAUUUACCAGAGCAGAAAUAAGAAAUCUCCUCUCCGGCUAGCGUGGCCUUAGAGCGCGACUCCCGCCCCCGCCUCCGGCUGUUCUUUGUGGUGGUCGCUUCUUCGCAUCGUGCGUGAAGCACACGUACGAGGAGAGAGAGCCUAUCUCUAGCUGACGGCGGUGUGUGCGUCAAAGAGAACGCGAGUGCCCACCUACUUACUUGUUGCGGUAAGAGUGUGACGGUGAAAAGAGAGGAGAAUGGGAAUCAUUGAAAGGAACGAGCAAGAUAGAAGAGAAGAGUCGCUCCGCCGCGAAAGCAUUUGAUUAGAAGAGGUUCGACGAUCGGACGCAGAGGGGAAUAAACGAGAAGACCGAAGCCAGAGAGGAACAGCUCGCGAUCCUCUCGCAGAGGAACUCGAAGAGGGCUGCAAGUGGUCGAACCAACCAAUCCAUAGACUCGGUCACAUCGACACAUCGCGCACACUUCUCUGCGCACUUCUAGCGUGAGUCUUCGUCCUCGCCUCCUAGGCCAUGGAUGCUAAGAGCGUGUGCGUGGGUGUACACUUUGUACUUUUACACUGCGCACGCUCGACCAAGCGCGGCUGACAAUCACGAUACGCACCAGGGGGGAAAACUGGCCACGCUUAAGAGGCGGAGCCCUGCGGUCGCACGGACCAUUGGCGAGAGCACCGCUCCGUGAGCCACCGUAGUUUACGCCUCUUCAUUGCGUCCUCGUGCCAUGCGAUCACUGUCUUAUUCUACUGUCGUUGGCUGCACACUUUUGCCAUCCGCCAGUGCUGAGUUAGCAGUAAAACGAACUUUAUAUUUUUCUAGAAUUAAUUGUUCUACUAUGGCCGACUUCGUUUGCGGUUUCCUAGCAAUCGGCUAGUGUUACUUGAAUAUUUAAGAUACAUCAUUAAUGUACGAAAAAUAAUUAAUCGACAGCAAUGUGACAUACACUUGCUCUUGACGAUAGGAGAAAAUAUCUGAAAGAAACAUCAUUUAGCUUGGAAAGUGUACAAACUUUUAAAAUUGUAGUUUUCGGUAUUUCAAGGUAUUCGAUGCUUUUUUUCGACGCGACUACACAUUUUUAUCAUAGUUAUACAAUAGCCAAGGUCGAGACCCGUUCAAUGAACUAUGACACUAUGACCUUCGUUAGACCUUGAGUAUAGAAAAUUCAAAAGUAGAGUAAUUGUAUAUUAAAAAAACCUAGAAGUUUUAUAUGCUACGUCUUGCACAUAUUUUUAAUAUUUACAUAUUGAGUAAGAAAUUUGAACAAUUAUGGACCAGCGUUGUUGUUGUGUCAUUUUCGAACAAGAAAAAGAAAUGACAACAACAACACGCGGUGUUCUCAUGCGCUCGUCCAUCCAAGUUUGUAUUAACCGCGAGAACCUUGUGUAUAAAAAAGAUGCGUGUAUCAAAAAUUUGUGGUUUUACAAAAUAUUCUGUGAACAGAGAAACAUUCAGGAGA